AGGACUUGCAUUAUAUACAAGGAUGAGCAGGCUGCGUGUUGGAAAGACAUCAGCAGAGUUACAAAAGGUAGCAGGGUUGGCAGUCGUAUCGGUGCUGUGCUUCUCCAUACGUGCUCUUUUCAUUCUUUUGGGCGUGUUUAAAAUUCGCAGCCGAUACACGUCCGUAGUAUUCUUUCUGUAUUCAUUCAUAGGUAUGGAUGC